GGGAUUUCGAAUGACUGCUCGUUAUGACGUCUAUGCUGAUCUACUUGCUCGUUAUGUGAAACCAGAUUUUGAGCCACAAGUCAUUUCAGAUCCCUUGUUACAUAAGAGUGGUUAAAGUUCUGCCUUGACCAUUAAGGAAAACGAACAGGUAAAAUUGCUUUCGGACUAUCUGGAAAGUAUCACAAAGUUUCCAUGUUUUCAUGACUAUGAAGUGUACGUUCAAGAACAUAUUAACAAUAAAAAAAAGUAGUGGAAUUUGUACAAAUACUGAAUUCACAGU
rnacentral:misc_RNA from 1 species